rnacentral:rRNA from 1 species
GAUGAACGCUAGCUACAGGCUUAACACAUGCAAGUCGAGGGGAAACGAUAUUGGAAGCUUGCUUCCGAUAGGCGUCGACCGGCGCACGGGUGAGUAACGCGUAUCCAACCUGCCCACCACCUGGGGAUAACCUUGCGAAAGUAAGACUAAUACCCAAUGAUAUCUCUAGAAGACAUCUGAAGGAGAUUAAAGAUUCAUCGGUGAUGGAUGGGGAUGCGUCUGAUUAGCUUGUUGGCGGGGUAACGGCCCACCAAGGCGACGAUCAGUAGGGGUUCUGAGAGGAAGGUCACCCACAUUGGAACUGAGACGCGGUCCAAACUCCUGCAGGAGGCAGCAGUGAGGAAUAUUGGUCAAUGGGCGAGAGCCUGAACCAGCCAAGUAGCGUGCAGGAUGACGGCCCUAUGGGUUGUAAACUGCUUUUAUAAGGGAAUAAAGUGAGUCUCGUGAGACUUUUUGCAUGUACCUUAUGAAUAAGGACCGGCUAAUUCCGUGCCAGCCGCCGCCGUAA